rnacentral:misc_RNA from 1 species
GAUGAAGAACGUAGCGAAAUGCGAUAAGUAAUGCGAAUUGCAGAAUUUCCGUGAGUCAUCGAAUCUUUGAACGCACAUUGCGCCCGCCAGUAUUCUGGCGGGCAUGCCUGUUCGAGCGUCAUUACAACCCUCAGGCCCCCGGGCCUGGCGUUGGGGAUCGGCGGAGCCCCCCGUGGGCACACGCCGUCCCCCAAAUGCAGUGGCGGUCCCGCCGCAGCUUCCAUCGCGUAGUAGCUAACACCUCGCGACUGGAGAGCGGCGCGGCCACGCCGUAAAACACCCAACUCUUCUGAAGUUGACCUCGAAUCAGGUAGGAAUACCCGCUGAACUUAAGCAUACCAAUAAGCGGAGGA